GUUAACUCAACAACCACCGACUAAAGUCGGUGGUUGUUGAGUUAUGACAAGGUAAAAAAAUAAAUUUUACUGAAAUAU
rnacentral:sRNA from 1 species